GCGGCGGGCCCGGUAGGAUUCCAAGUCCGCCCGUGUAAAGGCAGGGGACCGCGGUGGCACCCCGGAUAUGGGCCCGGCUUUAGCCAGGAACGAGUGAGCGCCACGACCCAUCUCUCAGAGAGAGCGAACCCGCUCAAGUUGAAAGGAUUAAUCACCGUGCAACUCAGCCGACUCACCCAAUGCAGCGUUCCUUGUCGGCGUACACAGGAGUCCCCCCUUAUCCAUGGCUUCGCAUUCUGGUGGUUUCACUCACCUGUGUCAAUGGUGGUUCGGUCUGGAAGCAGAUGACCUUCCUUCCCACCUAGCCUCAGAUCAAGAGUAGCCAGAUGCUGCAUCACCAUGCCUGUCAUUCACCUCACUUCGUCUCAUCACUAGGCAUUUUAGCAUCUCACAUCAUCAGAACUAGGAAGGAAGUGACGAGGCAGGCGUGCACAGAGGGAAACCACAUGAACACACAGGGAAGAGACACCAUUGGCAAGUAAAGGAGAGAAACCUUGGAACAAACAACCUGCUGACAUCUUGAUCUCAGACUUCUCAUCUCCAGAACAGUGAGAAAAUACGUUUCUGUUGUUUUAGCUGCUGAGUCUGUGCUACUUUGCUAUGGCAGCCCCAGAAAACUAAUAGUGAGUCCGGAUCUACUCAUUUCCUUUUAUUUCAUUCUUUUGUUUGUUUUGGUGUUCUUUGCUUUAUUGUCCCUCAGUUACCUUUUUCCUGACUUUUAAUGAGAUUAACUAUAUUUUCAGGAUUGUAUUUGACUUUUCUUACUGGGUUUUAGCUAGCUUACUGGCAUAUUUUUAGUUUCUUCUAGAAAUUUCCUUAUACAUCCUUCACUUUUCACAAUUCAUUUUCAGUUAAUAUUAUACCACUUUACAUAAAAUAUAAAAACAUUCCAAGAGUCAAGGGCCACAUACACCACUCCUUCCUUUAUUCUAGUGUUAUAUAUGUUAUUCUAGAGUUAUCGUAUGUAAAAUCUACUUACAUUAAACACCAC